GUUGUCUGCAGCGCUGUGUGAUCCUUGCAUGCAUCCUCACAAAAGUGGCAUCUUCUCACCCGGAAUGAUGACUUCCUCUCAGCUGGAGCUUUCAGCGGAAAUGGACAGCUUCCAGAGGAGAUUCUCUAUGCUGCAGGCUGGGAGUGGGGAUGCUGGUUGGGAAAGCUGUUCCAGCAUUGUGGUGGGGGUUAAACUAGACGGAUGUCAUCUGGCCUUGCAGAGAGCAAAUAAUGCCUCAUUGCCUCGUACCAGUUUCAUUGUGGUGGACAGGGAGCAGAGCAGAACCAAGUCCUCAUCAGCCUCUCUGCAGCGAGCAUUGCACUUUCCUUGAUUCUCCAGGCAAUCCUGCCAGUGAGACCUAGUGGACAGAAACACUGAAAUCCAUACUUUCUGCUCAGAAUGCAAAAAAAGCAGAAGCAGCAGAAAUAAAUCUGAAAACUACAGGUGCCUUUGGGGAGGC
rnacentral:lncRNA from 1 species